rnacentral:rRNA from 1 species
CAUGCAAGUCGAACGGCAUUGCGGGGCAACCUGGCGGCGAGUGGCGAACGGGUGAGUAAUAUAUCGGAACGUGCCCUGGAGUGGGGGAUAACGCAGCGAAAGUUGCGCUAAUACCGCAUACGAUCUAAGGAUGAAAGCAGGGGACCGCAAGGCCUUGUGCUCCUGGAGCGGCCGAUAUCUGAUUAGCUAGUUGGUGGGGUAAAGGCCUACCAAGGCAUCGAUCAGUAGCUGGUCUGAGAGGACGACCAGCCACACUGGAACUGAGACACGGUCCAGACUCCUACGGGAGGCAGCAGUGGGGAAUUUUGGACAAUGGGCGCAAGCCUGAUCCAGCAAUGCCGCGUGAGUGAAGAAGGCCUUCGGGUUGUAAAGCUCUUUUGUCAGGGAAGAAACGGUGGGGGCUAAUAUCCCCUGCUAAUGACGGUACCUGAAGAAUAAGCACCGGCUAACUACGUGCCAGCAGCCGCGGUAAUACGUAGGGUGCAAGCGUUAAUCGGAAUUACUGGGCGUAAAGCGUGCGCAGGCGGUUUUGUAAGUCUGUCGUGAAAUCCCCGGGCUCAACCCGGGAAUUGCGA